rnacentral:tRNA from 1 species
GCGGCAGUAGCUUAGUUGGUUAAAGCCCCGUUCUUAUAAAGCGGAGAUCGCUGGUUCAAGUCCAGCCUGCCGUA